GAGGUUCAGCUCCAGCAGUCUGGGACUGUGCUGGCAAGGCCUGGGGCUUCAGUGAAGAUGUCCUGCAAGACUUCUGGCUACACAUUUACCAGCUACUGGAUGCACUGGGUAAAACAGAGGCCUGGACAGGGUCUGGAAUGGAUAGGGGCUAUUUAUCCUGGAAAUAGUGAUACUAGCUACAACCAGAAGUUCAAGGGCAAGGCCAAACUGACUGCAGUCACAUCCGCCAGCACUGCCUACAUGGAGCUCAGCAGCCUGACAAAUGAGGACUCUGCGGUCUAUUACUGUACAAGA